rnacentral:rRNA from 1 species
CCUACGGGAGGCAGCAGUGGGGGAUAUUGCACAAUGGGGGAAACCCUGAUGCAGCGAUGCCGCGUGAAUGAAGACGGCCUUCGGGUUGUAAAGUUCUGUCGCAGGGGACGAAAAUGACGGUACCCUGCAAGAAAGCUCCGGCUAACAACGUGCCAGCAGCCGCGGUAAGACGUAGGGAGCAAGCGUGGUCCGGAUUGACUGGGUGUAAAGGGAGCGUAGGCGGGUGGAGAAGUGGAAUGUGAAAUCUAUGGGCUCAACCCAUAGCUGCGUUCAAAACUGUUCUUCUUGAGUGCAGUAGAGGCAGGCGGACUUCCUCGUGUAGCGGUGACAUGCGUAGAUAUUAGGCGGCACACCAGUGGCGAAGGCGGCCUGCUGGGCUUUUACUGACGCUGAGGCUCGAAAGCGUGGGUAGCAAACAGGAUUAGAUACCCCAGUAGUC